rnacentral:lncRNA from 13 species
GAACAGAAAAAUCCCACAGGAAUCGCUGAAACUUCACCAAUCAAACAUGAAAACUAUUUUGGAGGAGAGUAUAAGACAUACCCAAUUUGGAGGGUAUGGGUGACAUUCAACUCAACUGUUCAGGAACAGUCUAGGAUGACAGGUUCCAAGGUGCAAAACUCAAUAUUCCAAAGGGUGCAAUCUCUGAGCUUUGUGAGCAAGAAUUCAGACAUGAAUAUGCCACCUAAUGAGGAAUAUUAAAAAGCAGGUCUUCAGUUUUGAAAACACGAAUCUACAAAGCUUUAAGGGAAGACUUCUUCCUGACUAAUCAGUUACAGCUCUCAACUGUUUGGCCCCUAUUCCUCCAACAGAGAUGUUAUAAAGUACCAUUGAAAUUAAAGAUUCACAGAAACACAUACCAAAUACAGUUGUCUCAACUGUAUUUGUUUUACUCAUACACUCAGAAAAUGAUUGAUUUUUUUUUCUAGCAAGGCAUAUGGCAAUAAUGACCAGCUUCCCUAUUUGUCU